rnacentral:rRNA from 1 species
CACGUAGGGUCCGAGCGUUUGUCCGGAAUUACUGGGCGUAAAGCGCGCGCAGGCGGUCCAUUCAGUCGCUGGUGAAAGCCCCACGCUCAACGUGGGAAGGUCCGGCGAGACGGGUGGACUGGAGGCAGGGAGAGGUCGGUGGAAUUCCGGGUGGUAGUGGUGAAAUGCGUAGAGAUCCGGAGGAACACCAGAGGCGAAGGCGGCCGACUGGACCUGACCUGACGCUGAGGCGCGAAGGCGUGGGGAGCGAACGGG